UACGAAGGGGGCUAGCGUUGUUCGGAUUUACUGGGCGUAAAGCGCACGUAGGCGGAUUGUUAAGUUAGGGGUGAAAUCCCAGGGCUCAACCCUGGAACUGCCUUUAAUACUGGCAAUCUAGAGUCCGGAAGAGGUGAGUGGAACUCCUAGUGUAGAGGUGGAAUUCGUAGAUAUUAGGAAGAACACCAGUGGCGAAGGCGGCUCACUGGUCCGGUACUGACGCUGAGGUGCGGAAAGCGAU
rnacentral:rRNA from 1 species